UUGGCUUCCGGCCUUUUGGCUAGAUCAAGUCUGAUAUCUGUUCUUAUCAGUUUAAUGGUCUGAUACGUCCCUACUGGGGACCAUUAUUAAAUUGAUUUUGGAGAAUGAUGGAUGAAUUUCAAUCGGAUUGACUUAUUGAGUGCUUCCUGGCGGUACUCCCUCUGUAAUCAAGACAGCCACUUGGGGUGAAACUCU